AUGCAGGUCCGACGUCCACAUCUUUGCCCCCCUCUCAGCAUCCUCAACUCUCCCACCUCCCACCCUGCGCAGGGCUCCAAGGACCGGGUUGAAGCGCUCGAUCGUCGGACACAAGACUACCCAGCAACGGCCUCCACUCCCAUCGCUUUCAAAAGGCAUCCAUGCGGGCUGGAAGGCAAAAAUAUUGCAAGAAGUAUCGCAAGAUUAACAACAUUUCAUGUGGCAUGUGAAGAAAAAAUAUAAAAUAUUUUU